UAAAUUAGUUUUUUCUUCUGGCAGCUGAAAAGCUAUUUUGUAAAUUUCCAAUUGACUAUAUUUACAAUGUAUGGAUGUCUGCAAAGUAAGAAAUUUCAGUAUAAUUUUGCUAUUGUUCAACCGAAUAGUUUUUGAUAUAUUACAGAGUUAAACUUUCACUAGUUGACAGAGGUCAUUUUACUAAAAUAUGUUGCCAUGUAGCAAUGUUAACUAUUUAUUACAAAGAAUUCGUUGCUAAUGUCCUUUUCUGUGGAUAUUUAAAUGUCACUCAAUCUAUUGACUUCUCUUCAAACCAUGCAAUCACAGAUCUGAUGCAGAAAAAUAACUGAACAACAAACACACUAAGAAAUCUAUUUGAAAAAUAAGGCCAAAACUCCUUAGUUUAAGAUUGACUGUUUUUUUGGUUUCGCGUUCAUACUUUGCCAGCAAAGUAGGAGAUACUUCAAAGAGUGACUUUCUACAAAACCAACCUAUGCAACUAUACUUUGUACUGAAUGUCACAAGGUGGUUUAUAGUGCUGCUAUCGAAAAAAUGCUUCCGCCAAUACCUUUAUGAACAUUUGAAGAAUACAUUGCCACCGACUUUCUCUUCUACAUACCGAAACAGCUUAAGACAACAAAUAAAGUUGAUAUUCUACGGAAUAUCUUAUCUUCUAUUCAAUAUAGAUUCACUGGAGAAUGUUAUCGAUUUCGACAAACUUUGAAUAAUUUAUGGCUCGGAAAAGAAAAUUCAAAAAUGUCCCAGUAUACGACAUAGCAAGCUUUCCUAGCGUCGAUAGAUCUUUAAGCCAGCUAUUAUUCCAUCCAUUAACUGAGUGUGACACAGUGUCUUAUUUUGGAGGGUGCGACAAAAGAAAACUGCAUUGGAUGUCUGGAAAUUAAUUCAUCCUCAACGGACUAUUGAACCCAACAAUUACAUCGUCAGAAGAAAACAUCACAAAGCAAUCUAUGGACGUUAUUGAGAGGAGCAUGAUACACUACUCAAGUUGAAAAAGCUAGAUGUCAACAAAGUACAAUAUUUCUGGCAAUAAACGCAGGAACUGACCAAGUGACCAUUUUACACAAACUGUUAUCGGUGGAUAACUUCGCGAGUUUUUAUUGAAUACACUCAAAUACAUGCUUAAAAAAAUCGCUGUAUGUUCCUUUUUCAAUAAACAUUGAUUGGAUAAGUUUCGAUACAAUACAAUGGCAAGAACUGCAAAAAACCUAAUUUUUGUAAUACAAUCUCUAUAUCUUUUGCCCUGUUGACGCCGCCAUAUUUAAUAAUCAUGAUGGCCCAACGCGCACAGAUAUAAUAUGUACGUACAUAUGACUACUACAUCUAUGGUAAAAAUAAAUAUUUUAAUAUGGCGCAAAGCUUAAAUUUAAACACGGUAAACAAUUACAGACUUGCAUUGUCAUGUUAUAUCGCAAGCUAAGCAAAGAAGACAAAAAAUUUAA